AACAUCACUACGUAUAUGUGGAGCUGAUUUGGUUCUGUUAAGAUAACCCCUGGAAAUGCCAUAAUUUUAUCUGCUGGCAGAAUGGUGUCAAAAAAGGACAAAUGGACUUUGGGCUGGUAUUUGUUGGGCUCUAUGUUUGAGCAUUCUAACAAUAAAGAAUAUCAUAGUAACAAUGCACUCUCAGAUUAGAUCUCACAGAGGGCUCUUUUGCCAGCCAGCAAUGUGCCACCAAGGCGCUGUCACCCCCAUCUCCAGAGUAGACACACCUGCCCAGGCUUCCAGCCUGAGCAGUGAGCUUCAUCCAGUGUGCCUGGCCAGAUUCAAAGGAAACAGAAGAAGACACUCUCAAAAAUUGGGAUUUCUUUUUUGGCAGGGCCAUGGUUACAUUUGUCUGAACUCACCAGCCUGAAACACUGGAGGAAUAAUAAACAGGCAGAGACCAGCACUUUGAAUUUUUUUUCUAAUUGAAAGAACCAUUGCACAACCCAUGACUUGAAAAGAAAAAGCUGAGACAUUACCUUCUGGAUGAGGCAGAGGGCACCUGUGCACUCACCCCAGUCUCGCAUUCAUCUGUCAGUUUCUUCCUUGAACUCCCC
ensembl:lncRNA